CACGCAGGCGGUCUCUUAAGUCUGUAGGGACAGGGCACAGCUCAACUGUGUCAGGCUUACGGAAACUGGGAGACUUGAGGGCUUCAGAGGGAUGGGGAAUUCCGGGCGGAGUGGUGAAAUGCGUAGAGAUCCGGAAGAACACCAAAGGCGAAGGCACCAUCCUGGGGAGUCACUGACGCUCGGGUGCGAAAGCUAGGGGAGCGAACGGGAUUAGAUACCCCGGUAGUCCUAGCCGUAAACGAUGACCACUAGAUGUGGGAGGGAUCGACCCCUUCCGUGUCGUAGCUUACGCAUUAAGUGGUCCGCCUGGGGAGUACGGUCGCAAGAUUAAA
rnacentral:rRNA from 1 species